CAUCGUGUAGUUUAAUGGUAAAACGCCCUCACAAUACGAGGUAGAUGCUUGUUCGAUUCAAGCCACGUUAUGCA
rnacentral:tRNA from 1 species